rnacentral:lncRNA from 12 species
CAAUGACUUGGGUGAGCAUAUUUGGAAGAGAACCAGAAAGGUGACCAACAAUCCUAGUUUGGCCACAGUAAAGGGGGCUCUUAGGGUGCAAGACUUUCAGUUUCAAAACUGGGAUCGUCCCUGGAGAACUGUACUGGAAAUGGCAUGGUCCGGGAGCAGGCAAAGGAAGACAGCUUCCAAACUGGACCUUGACCCUUUGACCAUCCCAGAAAGCCAUCCUUAUUCCCUGUUUAAUUCUGUCAGGAAACACUUGAUGGAGGAAAUGGCAGCUCUAAUAUUCGUCAUUGGUAAGUUGUGCCCUUCCAGAGGUCACAAUUUCUAUUCUGACUGAAGCCUUCUGUGCCUUAAAUGAGAAGCAGCAAUUUCUAGGUUGAGGGAAACAAAUGUGUAGACUGUAUACUUGGGGAGAGGGGAACAGGUGGCACUACAGAGCUAUUUUAUAGGCAGCCUCCUACCUCAUCUAUGGGCACAGAAAGACAGAGGAGAAUCUUAUCGUAUAAUCUUUAUGGGAAGGUAGGAUUUUAGUAUCAAGGAGAUCCUACACCAAUGUUCCAGGUAAUGUGCAAUGUCCUUUAUGCAAUGCCCCUGACAAAGGAGCAUCAAGCUUCUAUUUGAAUACCUCUAGUGGUGGGGACUUACUAUUUUAAGAAGCUGGCUGUUAUUAUCUGGUGCUUCUUAUAUGAGGCACAUUCAUAGAGCCCAUGGAAUGCUGGGAGAAUCUCAAAUCAUUUGGGGAAAAAGCAGUGCUCUGUAUUUGCCCUCCAGACAGAUGACUUUCCAGGCAGGGUCAU